UACGGAGGAUCCAAGCGUUAUCCGGAUUUAUUAGGUUUAAAGGGUUCGUAGGCGGGAUAUUAAGUCAGUGGUGAAAUUUUGCGGCUCAACCGUAAAACUGCCAUUGAUACUGGUAUUCUUGAGUAUAGUUGAGGUAGGCGGAAUGUAUCAUGUAGCGGUGAAAUGCAUAGAUAUGAUACAGAACACCGAUUGCGAAGGCAGCUUACUAAACUAUUACUGACGCUGAGGAACGAAAGCGUGGGGAGCAAACAGG
rnacentral:rRNA from 1 species